rnacentral:rRNA from 1 species
AUACCAGACUCCUACGGGAGGCAGCAGUGGGGAAUAUUGCACAAUGGGGGAAACCCUGAUGCAGCGACGCCGCGUGAGCGAAGAAGUCCCUCGGUAUGUAAAUCUCUAUCAGCAGGGAAGAAGAUGACGGUACCUGACCAAGAAGCUCCGGCUAAAUACGUGCCAGCAGCCGCAGUAAUACGUAUGGAGCAAGCGUUAUCCGGAUUUACUGGGUGUAAAGGGAGCGCAGGCGGCCUUGCAAGUCUGAUGUGAAAGGCCGGGGCCCAACCCCGGGACUGCAUUGGAAACUGCGAGGCUGGAGUGUCGGAGAGGCAGGCGGAAUUCCUAGUGUAGCGGUGAAAUGCGUAGAUAUUAGGAGGAACACCAGUGGCGAAGGCGGCUUACUGGACUGUAACUGACGUUGAGGCUCGAAAGCGUGGGGAGCAAACAGGAUUAGAUACCCCGGUACUU